UUUAGGGUAAACAACAUGAAAGCAUGGAUCCAUCCUGCCUUGUAUCAAUUGUUUAGGGUAGUGGUGGUAGUGUAAUGGUGUUGGAGAUAUUUUCUUGGCACAUUUUGGGCCCCUUAGUACAAAUUGAGAAUUGUUUAAAUGCCACAGUCUACCUGAGUAUUGUUGCUGACCAUGUCCAUCCCUUUAUUACUACAGUGUACCCAUCUUCUGAUGACUACUUCUAGACAGGAUAAUACACCAUCUUAAAUCAUCUCAAACUGAUUUCUUGAACAUGACAAUGAGUUCACUGUACUCCAAUGGUCUCCACAGCCAUCAGAUCUCAAUCCAAUAGAGCACCUUUAGGAUGUGGUGGAACAGGAGAUGCGCAUCAUGGAUGUGCAGCCGACAAAUCUGCAGCAACUUUGUGAUGCUAUUAUGUAAAUAUGGACCAAAAUGUCUGAGGAAUGUUUCCAACACCUUGUUGAAUCUAUGCCACAAAGAAUUAAGGCAGCUCUAAAGGCAAAAGGUGGUCCAACCCUGUACUAGCAAGGUGUACCUAAUAAAGUGGCCGAUGUAAUCCACAUCGCUCCUGUCAAUGAAAAACUCCACCGAGGAGGACCACCAGAGCCACCGGCUCCAUGGAGUACCCACCGUAGCUGCCGGCUCCAUGGAGGAUCUAGUGCCGCCACCAAGGAAGACCACUGGACAUGCCGCCGCCAUGGAGGAGUUGUUGCCGUAGAGCCAUCACCCUAAUUCUCAGGAAGACUUUGGAUGUGGGCGGACUUUUGCUGAAGUUUUGAUCCUUAUUAUUUCCUAUGGGAGACGCAUCUCCACUCUUCGGAACAGAGAGGUUCAGACCUUGUGGGUCUGACAAUGCAUUGAUAACCAGG